rnacentral:rRNA from 1 species
AUACGGAGGAUCCGAGCGUUAUCCGGAUUUAUUGGGUUUAAAGGGUGCGCAGGCGGCCAUUUAAGUCAGCGGUUAAAUCGUGGGGCUCAACCCCAUUCUGCCGUUGAUACUGGGUGGCUUGAUUGCGGUCGAGGUUGGCGGAAUUCGUUGUGUAGCGGUGAAAUGCAUAGAUAUGACGAAGAACACCGAUUGCGUAGGCAGCUGACCAGACCGCAAAUGACGCUCAUGCACGAAAGUGCGAGGAUCGAACAGGAUCAGAUACCCUGGUAGUCCGCACAGUAAACGAUGAAUACUUGUUUUCGGCGAUAUAAUGUCGGAGGCAAAGCGAAAGCGAUAAGUAUUCCACCUGGGGAGUACGCCGGCAACGGUGAAACUCAAAUGAAUUGACGGGG